AAAGUGGUGGAGUGAGAGUGUGUUAUAUUGAAGUUUGAGGAUAUGACGAUGAAGAAUAUGAUGACGGAGAUAACACAGGCGGGAGGGAGCUGGGGCACAACGAAUUAUUUGGUUCGACCCCGAGCGCAGCCGCCUGCUUUGGAAUCUCACUCCCCUUUUGGCUUUGGCUUUGGCUAUGAUGGAGGCCUCUCAUCGCCAUUUACUACUACUACUACUUAUCAGUUCAACAACAGGAAUUGUCGGCUUCAAAGACCGUCCGCUCUUCCCACUUCAAUCUUGUCGUCUGUAGCUAAAGAGCCCCUCACCCUUUCCCGAGCCCUCCUGGAUGAUACUACUUCUUCUUCUGAUGCGGAGGAGCUUAAGAGUGUUGCUGAGGCUGAUCCUUCACUAACACUUAAGAAGAGGGCAGCUGAGAUAUCUCCCGAUUUGAAAGGAACUUCUGUAUUUCUUGUAGGGAUAAACUGUUCCAUCAAAUCCAACUUGGGGAAACUUCUUGCUGAGGCACUGCGAUACUAUUACUUUGACAGUGAUGAUUUGAUUGAAGCGGCUGCCGGUGGAAAAUCUGCUGCUAGAUUAGUUUUCCAGCGGGAUGAGAAGGGUUUCCGUGAAUCUGAGACAGAGGUACUGAAGCAGCUGUCCUCCAUGGGCCGUCUUGUGGUUUCUGCUGGAAAUGGCACUGUUCAGUGUGCAGCCAAUCUGGCACACUUGAGACAUGGAAUUUCAAUAUGGAUUGAUGUCCCUCUAGACAUGGUAGCCAGGGAGGUCAUGGAAAAUGAUAUUCAACUUCCUGCAUCUGACCUCACAGUUUCUGGAUCUUAUUCUGAGAUUUUGACUCAGCUGACUGAACUGUAUGAAAGAAGCCGGAGUGGAUAUACUGCAGCUGAUUCAACUGUUUCGCUCCCAAAAGUAGCAUCUAAUUUCGUUACAAGGACCUGGUUGAAGUAACAGUUGAAGAUAUGGCUUUAGAGGUUCUCAAGGAGCUCCAAAAACUAAUGAGACUUAAAAAGAUGAUGGAAGCAGCGCUAGACCAUUUUAAUCUCCAAGACCUUUUGUCACUGCCAUUAACUUUGGGUGUAAGGAACUGUUGCAGAUGUUGCAGCCGCUACCUGCCAAAAUAUCUCAAAGAAAGCUAUUUACUCUACAGACUUGAGAAGCUUGUUAUACGUUUGUUUUUUUGAUGGAAUUAGACGUCAUCAUCGCAGCAGUUGAUGCAUUGGAAUUGUGACGGAGAUAUUGGUUUGUAACUGCCUCAGGCUGGGGAAAAGGAGUUCCCAGAUCUUGAUUUCCACCUUAGGCAGUGAGGCUGCAUUCGCCUGCCACAAAUGGAGAAGUUGGAGACCUGCGAUGACCUAUUUCAUGGGUUGAUUGAUAAUUGUGACGAGGAUGUUCUUACUAGUUCAUAGUACGCAGUAAUGGUGUUCAGCUUUUGAGUUGUGUUAUGGAAAUGUUACGAAUCUAUUGUGAUUCUUGAUCCUAAAUUAGUUCAGAGCUAAGUAAAUGGAAUGUUAAGAUGAACUUUGAGCUCU